rnacentral:rRNA from 1 species
GCCAACCAGCUAGCUCCACCAACUACACCAUACUCAUUACAAACAAAACAAACCAUUUGCCAAAAUCAGUAGAUGUGAUCGAACUUAACCCACGACGCAAUAGCAAAAGUACCGCAAGGGAACACUGAAAAAAUAAUGAAAUCACACCAAAGCACAACAAAGCAAAGAUAAACCCUUGUACCUCUUGCAUCAUGAUUUAGCAAGACACACUCAGACAAAGAGCCCUAUAAGCCUGACACCCCGAAAUCAAACGAGCUACCCUAAGGCAGCAAAUUAACCACGCAAACCCGUCCCUGUAGCAAGAGGGUGGGGAGACCUUAGGGUAGAGGUGAAAUACCAACCGAGCUUGAUAAUAGCUGGUUGCCCAACAAAUAAAUUUAAGUUAAACUUUAGCCUUAACGCACCAGUAAACCAAGUGCCAACAUUAUAGCUAAAAGAUAGUCGACCGGGGUACAGCCCGGUCGACUUGGGAUACAGCCCGCAUUGAGAGAAAGAGAAUUAACACACUAAGUCCAGUGGGCCUUAAAGCCGCCACCACUACAAAAUCGCGUCACAGCACCCAAUCAACCAAAUCUCAAACAAAACCACGCCCUCCAAUCUAAACAACUGGGCUACUCUAUCACACCAUAGAGGACCUAAUGCUAAAACUAGUAAUAAGAACUAUCUAUUUUCUCCUUUACAGCACAUCCAUACGUCAGACCAGAACCCCUACUGAUAAUUACCAGACCAAAACAGGACAAACAAUAUCAAUCUUUUAAAACCAACUGUUAUCCAAACUGUUAACCCAACACAGGAGUGCAAAAAAGAAAGACAAAAAGCUAUAAAAGGAACUCGGCAACCACCAGCCCCAACUGUUUACCAAAAACAUAGCCUUUAGCCAACCACAAGUAUUAAAGGUACAGCCUGCCCAGUGACAUGUUAAACGGCCGCGGUACUCUAACCGUGCAAAGGUAGCAUAAUCAUUUGUCCCCUAAAUAGGGACUAGUAUGAAUGGCCAUAUGAGGGCUGAACUGUCUUUUAAAGCCCGUCAAUGAAACUGAUCUACCAGUACAAAAGCUGGCAUAAAUACAUAAGACGAGAAGACCCUGUGGAGCUUAAAACCCACCAAGUCAACAUAAAUGAUUUGGCAUUUUUAGUUGGGGCGACUUUGGAAACAAACAAAACUUCCAAACCAAAGGACCAAAAAUCCAACCAAGACCAACAAGUCCAAGUUACACAUAAUUGACCCAGUACCACUGACCAAUGAACCAAGUUACCCCAGGGAUAACAGCGCAAUCUUCUUACAGAGUCCAUAUCGACAAGAAGGCUUACGACCUCGAUGUUGGAUCAGGACACCCAAAUGGUGCAGCCGCUAUUAAAGGUUCGUUUGUUCAACGAUUAAUAGUCCUACGUGAUCUGAGUUCAGACCGGAGAAAUCCAGGUCGGCUUCUAUCUAUGACUGUGCCCUCCCCAGUACGAAAGGACCAGGAAAGCAGCGCCAAUAUUACUAACACGCGCUAGUUACACAAAGCUGAUACAUAUAAAGCUACCGUAGACACACCAAUAAAACUGAAGACCACAGAUAU